UUGUGGGAAAAGAUGGCGGCUGCCGCACAAUCCCGGGUUGUCCGGGUCCUGUCAAUGUCACGUUCUGCCAUUACUGCAAUAGCCACAUCUGUGUGUCACGGCCCACCCUGUCGCCAGCUUCAUCAUGCCCUCAUGCCUCAUGGGAAAGGUGGACGUUCCUCAGUCAGUGGGAUUGUGGCCACUGUGUUUGGAGCAACAGGAUUCCUGGGGCGAUAUGUUGUCAACCACCUUGGACGCAUGGGGUCACAGGUAAUCAUACCCUAUCGGUGUGAUAAAUAUGACAUCAUGCACCUUCGUCCCAUGGGUGACCUGGGCCAGCUUCUGUUUCUGGUUCUUUAGGGCAGUAGUUGCCAAUGCGGUGAGGCAGGGGAAAGAGGGUAGAGGAGGGCCAUUAAGGGAGUGAUUAAUGGAACUCUUUGAUUGUCACAGUGAUUGGGGAGCUGUCCUGGUUAUUAGGUACAGGCACAGGGAUGCUAAAUAUCCUACGGAGCACAGGACAGUCUCUUUCCACAAAGAGUUGUGCUGCCCCAAAUGCCUGCAGCCAAGCU
rnacentral:lncRNA from 10 species